GCUAGCCGCUGACUUCCACCCCUCUGGAUCCAGCAGGGUGUCUGCUGCACUUCUGAUCCAGUGAGGCGCCCAUUGCCACUCCCAACUGGGCUAGAGGCUCGCCAUUGUUCCUGCCCGGCCAAGUGCCCAGAUAAACUGCCAGGGAGAAGAAUGAGAAGACAGGAGACAAACUGUUUGGAAAGCUAAAUCUUCCCUCUUAAUGAAUAAAGGUUUUUGCCUUGUCUUAAA